CCUACGGGAGGCUGCAGUGGGGGAUAUUGGGCAAUGGGGGGAACCCUGAUCCAGCGACGCCGCGUGAGUGAAGAAGUAUUUCGGUAUGUAAAGCUCUGUCAGCAGGGAAGAAAGAAAUGACGGUACCUAACCAAGAAGCCCCGGCGAACUACGUGCCAGCAGCCGCGGUAAUACGUGGGGGGCAAGCGUUAUCCGGAAUUACUGGGUGUAAAGGUAGCGUAGACGGUUAAGUAAGUCUGGAGUGAAAGGCCGGGGCUCAACCCCGGGAGUGCUCUGGAUACUAUUGAUCUUGAGUGCAGGAGAGGUAAGGGGAAUUCCUAGUGUAGCGGUGAAAUGCGUAGAUAUUAGGAGGAACACCAGUGGCGAAGGCGGCUUACUGGACUGUAACUGACGCUGAGGCUCGAAAGCGUGGGGAGCAAACAGGAUUAGAUACCCGUGUAGUC
rnacentral:rRNA from 1 species